AUGGCACCUCCUCCCCACGAGAACGAGAUGACCAGGUCGGAGUCGGCACCGGCCACGCCGGUGAAGACGGUGGACGUGCAGACGGCGGCGCCACCGGACGUGGGGGUGACGGCAGUGGACGUGCAGACGGCGGCGACACCGGCCGUGGGGGUGACGACGGUGGACGUGCAGACGGCGGUGACACCGGCCGUGGCGGUGACGACAGUCGACGUGCAGACGGCGGCGAGGGAGCUUCAGGAGCAGCAGGACGGCAUGAUGUACCUGGACGUGAGGACAGAGGAGGAGAUGGGCAAGGGCCACAUCCGCGGCUCCCUCAACGUCCCCUACUUCUUCGUCACACCACAAGCAGGGGUCCGGGAGAAGAACCCCCGGUUCGUGGAGCAGGUCGGCUCACUCUUCACCACAGACCAAUACAUACUUGUCGGGUGCCAGAGCGGCAAGAGGUCCGAGCUGGCCUGCGUCGAUCUCCUAGCAGCAGGGUUCAUGAAUGUGAAGAACGUGGGAGGAGGCUACGCUGCGUGGCUGCACAACGGACUCCCGGUUACAGUGGAAGUCCCCACACCGCCACCGACACCUGAAUCUGCUGCAGCAAUCUGA
rnacentral:rRNA from 1 species